AAACUCUCGCUUAGUUUAGUUCCCGUGUAGUGUUAAAUUCUGGUGAACUAUAUUCGUUACAAAUGGUAAGCUAAAGCAGAUUUAAAAAGAUGAUAAAUUUGCUCAAACCACGUUCAGUUUCAAAACUGACCUGAAGCUACACUCAAUGGCCCUAUGGAUCCUCUCUUUUAAAGAAUCUACCUGUUUGUUGCCAUUUUGUGGGACUUAUAGGAAGAAGACAUGAGGUGGAGUACUUCUUAAGAUAAUCCUACUCAAUGCAUACUAGAAAUUGCUAUUUGAAAAAGUUGUUCUGAAGUGACUCUUCAGGGCUUGGGAGGUUGUCAAUUUUUGUGUACACGUUACUGUUGUAUACUACUAAUACAAAUUUUGUAGUCUACAAGGGGUCUGCGGUACUUUCAUAGUAGCGAAUAAAGAAUGAAUCAAAUGGGAUUGAUUUACUACUAUACCUAAAUUAGUUACAUAUAUUGCAUCUUGUGGAUUAACUCUUGGUCACAACUAGGUGUAGUUGAUUUUUCAGUUUUGACACACACUUAUCUAUUUACAUAAUGUGGUCAUAUGUUUCAUUUUGUGGCUAACCACGUGAAAGUAUGUAGGUUCAAACCGAUGCUGUGGCCAACACAGAUAGUAGCAGUCAAGACAAUGACUUUUUGGACGAAGAAGAGUGACUUCAUGCAAGGAAAUGAGUUCCAAUAUUGGUGUGACGAGUCCCUUGACUGAAGAAGGAGGAGGAGGACGUCAAGGGAGGCCGCAUGAGCCGGCGGUGGCAGCAUGAGCCAUCACGACGCAUCGCUGGGAGGCUCCGGGCGGGGGGCAUGAGAGGUGUGACACAAGUGAGGAGGCGAACUAGAGAAGAUGAGUAGAUCGAGAUGGAUCAUACAAGGAUGAAGGGAUGUUAUAGAGCCGUUAGCCGACGGUGCUAAUUUCCUGUGUGUGUCGAUGUCGGUUGCCAUGCAGUAAAUGAAGAGUGUGUGUAUGCCUGUGGCACCCUCCAUCUUCAUAUUUGGAGUCCACACAGGCUGGGUGGCCGAGGGGAAGAGUGAGCGAUUUUUUUGUUCCGUUUUCUUUGCCUGAGUAGGUGUCUGUGAGGACUCCUCCCCCCAGGCUUGGUGAUUUUGGUGAUGGUGGUGAGAUGGUGGAUUCUUUUUUUGCGGGAUCCUGUAAUAUACAUAGAAAUUUUUGUGAGCUUCUAUUUUACA